rnacentral:rRNA from 1 species
UACGUAGGGUGCAAGCGUUAAUCGGAAUUACUGGGCGUAAAGCGUGCGCAGGCGGUUUUGUAAGACAGAGGUGAAAUCCCCGGGCUCAACCUGGGAACUGCCUUUGUGACUGCAAGGCUGGAGUGCGGCAGAGGGGGAUGGAAUUCCGCGUGUAGCAGUGAAAUGCGUAGAUAUGCGGAGGAACACCGAUGGCGAAGGCAAUCCCCUGGGCCUGUACUGACGCUCAUGCACGAAAGCGUGGGGAGCAAACAGG